CUGAUAGCAUUGUGACAUAUGCUAACAUGCUUUUUCCCAACAGCCAUCUUCCUUCAUUUCCUACCUCUUUUCUGAGCUGAAGUUGCAACUACAACCAAAACUAAAGCACUACAGCCAAACCAAAGGUGAAAAAUUUGUACUGAGGCACAGGAUAUGGAACAAAGUCUCAGAAAUGGAAUUGAAGUUUGGAAGAGGCAUGAUCUAAUGGAAUGACACAACAGACCCAAGAGGUACUUGAUUGGUUAAGCCUGGCUGUGGACUGAGGGUAAAAUAAUCAGAGCUGGAAAAAGCGCUGGAAACCUGAGCUUGAUACAUGGAGAAGACAUUUCUAAGCAUUGUGACUGAAAUCUUUUGUAGCCAGAGAAACUGGUUUCAUCUCUGUCUAGUUCACCGUUAUAAUGUAAAAAGGUGGCAACCAGUUUGUACAUAGAAA